AUGAGUAGCACAAACUGCUUGAUCAUGAGCUGGAAUGUCCGGGGCCUAAACAACCUCGUCCGGUGCUCUGUAGUACACGACACUGCAAACACGCAUCACCUCGCCAUUCUUUGCAUUUAGGAGACCAAACUAGAAGAGUGGACGGCCGCGAUCGCUAGGGAAAUAGGGGGGGGGGCAAAGACUUGACGACUGGUCUUGCUAGCAAAUGGCACAAGAGGAGGCGCUGCCAUCUUCUGGGAUUCGACCUCAGUCUGCGUCCAGUCUCAUGCGAUUGGCGAGUUCUCCAUCACGGCCAAAGUGUCAAUCCUCUCCCCAGGGUCUGGUUUUUGGCUGACAACGGUCUAUGGUCCAUGUGAGGGGGCGCGAAAAGAUAGUUUCUUGGCAGAAUUAGUGAGAAUCGCCCCUCCUCAAGGCAAGCCCUGGCUCCCCAAUGGAGAUUUCAACAUUAUCUACGAGGCCCGCGACAAGAACAAUAGCAACAUAAAUAGGAGGAUCAUGGGAAAAUUUAGGGCGGCAAUCGACGCCGGUGGUCUGCGAGAGAUUAAAUGCAAAAAUAGACGUUUCACAUGGAGUAGCGAACGCGAGGGCCCAACUCUUGCGAGCAUAGAUAAGUUCUUCUGCACGGUGGAAUGGGAGGGCAUGUUCCUAGAUUUCAUGCUGCACACGACAUCCACCUCGUGCUCGGAUCACUGCCCGCUGCUCCUCGCGGCAGCUGCAGCCCCUUGCCAGGUGCCGCAUUUUCGUUUUGAAUCUUUCUGGCCAAGGUUUCCUCGUUUUCACGAGACUGUAGAGAGAGCAUGGCAGCGUCCCGCCCCAACCAUUUGUGCUUUUGCUCGCCUGAACAUCAAGAUGCAUUGGGUGGCUAGAGACCUAAAAUCUGGAGUAGAUCGCUGUUUAGUGACGCAAAACUACAACAACAACUUGCCAUGA
rnacentral:rRNA from 1 species